GAUGAACGCUGGCGGCGUGCCUAAUACAUGCCAGUCGAGCGAACAGACGAGGAGCUUGCUCCUCUGACGUUAGCGGCGGACGGGUGAGUAACACGUGGAUAACCUACCUAUAAGACUGGGAUAACUUCGGGAAACCGGAGCUAAUACCGGAUAAUAUAUUGAACCGCAUGGUUCAAUAGUGAAAGACGGUUUUGCUGUCACUUAUAGAUGGAUCCGCGCCGCAUUAGCUAGUUGGUAAGGUAACGGCUUACCAAGGCAACGAUGCGUAGCCGACCUGAGAGGGUGAUAGGCCACCCGGGAACUGAGACACGGUCCAGACUCCUACGGGAGGCAGCAGUAGGGAAUCUUCCGCAAUGGGCGAAAGCCUGACGGAGCAACGCCGCGUGAGUGAUGAAGGUCUUCGGAUCGUAAAACUCUGUUAUUAGGGAAGAACAAAUGUGUAAGUAACUAUGCACGUCUUGACGGUACCUAAUCAGAAAGCCACGGCUAACUACGUG
rnacentral:rRNA from 1 species